rnacentral:rRNA from 1 species
UACAGAGGUCUCAAGCGUUGUUCGGAUUCAUUGGGCGUAAAGGGUGCGUAGGCGGCGCGGUAAGUCGGGUGUGAAAUCUCGGAGCUUAACUCCGAAACUGCAUUCGAUACUGCCGUGCUUGAGGACUGGAGAGGAGACUGGAAUUUACGGUGUAGCGGUGAAAUGCGUAGAUAUCGAGAGGAACACCUGCGGCGAAGGCGGGUUGCUGGGCUGACACUGACGCUGAUGCGCGAAGGCCAGGGGAGCAAACGGG